GCGGGCCGGGAGGGGCCGGCCGACGGAGCGGGAGGUCGCGGAGGAGGAGGCAGGCCCUGAGACGAGGCGACCGGGCUGUGCGGACACGCAGAGCCCCUGGUGGGACCCCCCCCCGCCCCGCCUGAUUUUACAGAAUCUGAGGACCCAGAGCGUUAGGGGUCCAGGCCGCCUCACCCCAAGCUUAGCCCCAGUGGAGCCGAGUCCGCCAGAUGGCCCAGCGGCCAGGUGACAAGGAUGCGGUGAGGAUGGAGGCUGAGCUCAGGGCAGGUAGGUGCCUGAGGGUGGGGCUGUGCUGUCGGGCCUGAGUGCACUCCCCAGCAGGGCCCCUCCCGGCAGGGCUGCGGGGGCCAAGUGGAAGCAGCAGACCGUCGGGGACGUGUGCCCCUUGAAGCCCUGGAGGCUGCAGCCCCUGCAGUGCCCGGAGACAGCCCUGGUUCUUCUCCUGUCUCCUCUGGUGCCAGAAGGGGGCCUGCAGCUCAUUCUCCUCCUCCAGCACACAGGACACUAAUCCCACGGCGGGGGCCCCACCCUCGUGACCCAGUCGGCUCAAAGACCCCUCCUGACACCACCCCGAGAGUUAGAGCGUCAGGCUAGGAACUCAGCACAAACCUUCAGUCCAUCAAAGACCAGAAAGGGCCUCUGCUGUCUCAGCUCAUCUGGGUCUUGACCCUGCAGAGCGGACCUGGGCGCCUCAUCUUACAGAGAAGGCCGUGUGGCUCAGGGAGCAGAGCUGUGCGUGUGCACGUGUGACCAGAGCCGACUCAGCCUCCAGAAGAGGGGGGCAGGCCUGUGCCACAACCUGAUCCCAAGGCCAGCAGGAGGCGGGAGGCUGGCGAUGACCUUAGGACCUGGCGACAGUGCCCAGGGAACAAGCCGGGAUCCUGCAUUGCUGGUGGCGGCUGGGACAGCCAGGGAUGCAGCAACACCCCUCAGUGAGCAGUCAGGUGGCCCGGCUCAUCAGCCAUCAAGCCGGGCCCCUGGGCCUGUCACCUGUCCCUGUGUCCUCUCGGGGCCUCUCCUGUGUGUGGCUAUGUCCUGACCUCGCCCUCUCAGGCCCCAUCAGAGGCUUAGGACCCAAUGGCUUUGUCCACCUCCAGAUACUGUCCCACCCCAGGGUAGUCCUGGGGGCUAGGGUUUGAGCUCAUGGACUGGGGGGACUCUGUCCAGCCACAGCAGGACCUGAGGCAGGUCAGCCUGAGGCAGGUCAGCAGGGACCCGUGGUGCCCGAGAAGGAGGACAUGGCUGUUGGUCCCUCUCUGCCGGCUGCGAGCAGAGGAAGACACGAAGGAGAGCCCGCUUGGAAGCAAGGGGGCAGAGGGGCUGACCUUCGGAGGAGGAAGUUCAUGUUCUCGGCCAGAGCUGUCUGGAGGCACCGCAAAAGUUCCCGCCAACGGCGGCUCCCGGACGGCUGUGAUGGUGCCUCGUCCUCGGUCGCCGGGGGAGUCCAGCGCUGUCUACUCCAGCCGAUGGGUGUGUUCGAUGGACAGGCUCUUGUGUGGGCUUGAGUUUGUGGCCAAAGUGUGGCCCUGUCCGCGAGAGCAGCCCUCUCUUGAAAAGGAGCCCUAGGUCUGGAGGGAGAAGCACCAAAUGGACGCCUUCACAGCAGCACCGCAAGGAUCCUCUCCUGGAAAGGACCAGCUCUGCCUGGAUCUUGGCCCCGUGACACGGGCGUGGUACCUCUGGCCUGCAGAAGAGCCAGCCAGCAGGCCCCUGCUGUUCGAAGCCCCUCCGUGUGGGGUCUUCGUCACAGCAGCCGUCAGAGGUGUGUGCCUUUUAGAUACCCUUUGUUUUCCUCUUUUGCUGAUUAUGUAUCGUCGGAGGCUUCGCUGGGAGCUGGUCGCAUGGGAUAUUCGCACCUACCCUGGGUCACUGGCUUCUGGAUUUUUGUCCGAUGCCCCCAGAGCUUCCAGAGGGGUCAGCGCCGGGCCGUCCUUGGACUUCUGCUGUCCCGACCCGCGACGAUAAAUCUGUGCUGUUUCGAGCCACGUUUGUCACGGCGGCCUCCGGGAGCGCCUACGCUCUGACGCUCUCUCUUCCGCCGCAGCCUCGGCCUGGAGAGGAUGGCGUCGCGGGACAGGAGGCCUGUGGGCACACGCAAGACCCGCACCGAGGCCCCCUCCUCUCUGCGCUGCCAAGGGCCUCGAGCACCAUCAGUCUCUGGCAGCCGGACUGCCACCUAGGAACCCUCCACCUGCUGCUGCCGCACUGCCGGGGGCUGGGAUGGACGGACAAACCCAGGGCCCGGCCUUGUGGGCUCCAUGUUCAGCUGUGCCCACAGACAGCGGGUUCCCCCCAAAGUGACGGCGCCUCCCUGCCAGGGCGGGGAAGCCCAUCGGGCCGCCCAUGCGACACGGGCUCUCCCGACCCGGGACCGCGACCACAUCCUCAGGCGUCUCCAAAGAACGACAAACGAGAACCAGCCUCAGGACCCCGCAGACGCCGUGGCCAAGAGAUGUCCCCAAAGCCUUCCCCAGUGCCCUAUCCCUCCCUAAGCCCCACCAGACCAGGCAGAGAUGCCCCAGUGUCCUCCCUGCCCUCCCCACAAGCACGUCUGGUCUGUACCCUCAGCCCCCUGCUUGGGUUCGGGGGUCCCCUCCGGGGAGACUUUGUUCUGUAAACUUGCCCUUGACCUCUGAGCCCCGCUCCUGCCCCAGCUUCUCCGCUGCACCUGCCCCUGUCCCUGCACUGCUGCCUCCUCCCACUGGGUGCAGCUCCAGGACAGCGGGGGGUCUCCUCUGCCUCGGGGUCCCCGUGCCUGCGGGAAAGCUGAGCUGAGGAAGAGAAUGCACGAAGCAGUGAAAUAAUGAAAAGGCACGUUUUGCCUAGAAAAGGAGGCUCCAGAGAGUGGCCGGCGGCUGGUCUGAAGACGUGGAACCCAGGUGCCAGCCUCGUUUCUAGUGAAAUGUCAGCGCAGAAGCCUGGGGGUUGUUUGUCCCCGCGCCCACGGAGGUCUCUCCCCGGUUCAUACAUUUACCCAACCGCAGAGUUUGGGAAAGUGCAUAAAGUAGAAAUAAGCCUCCGUCUGGACAGAGGAGCGCGAUGAAAAUGAAGCCCCCUGGGCCCUUCAUGGGGAGGGAGGCCGAGGCCUCGCCCGUCUGUCCCCGGCCGGAGCUGAGCUCCUAAAUCACUGUCUCUGGGUGUUACUCCGCGCGUCUCGAGGAAAUGCAAAAUACGCCAGCGUGAUUAUUCUAAUGUCACUGGGGGCCUCUCAGUCAGGUGGAGAUAUUUCAAAUGCUGCCAUUUCCGAGUCAGACCGGCUCCACAAUAUUUAGGCAACUCCGCAAAAGCACAGCCAGGCCGUGAAUCAGAGGCACCGUGCCGAGUGCUCUGGGCGCCCACACAGGCCUGAAAAACGGGAAGACAAAGUCUCCUUCCUUGCACCUGCUCUGUCGCCUCUGCCUCUGAAGUGCCACGCUUUGCCGUCCUGGCUCUGUCCCCAGGGCAGGUUCUGCACCGUGAAUGACCAGUGGGGGCGCCCCAUGGCAAGGGCAGCCCAGCAGGGCCCUCGCUGCCGUCCGUGUCCCCUGGGGAAGCGAUGCUCUGUGCCCUGCCAAAGCCCACGCCCCCGCCACCCCCAUGUGUCCUGUCUCCUCCCUGGAGAGCUGGAGGGACACUCGGCUGCGUGACUCAGCUCCGUGGAGGAGCCCAGGGUCUCCUGAGCACAGAUGCGCAGACUCUGGCCCACCUCUUCCAAGUGUGCGAAUAAAGCUUUAU
rnacentral:lncRNA from 1 species